UGAUGAUGGAAGAAAACAGAGGAAAAUCAACUGUGAAUUCAACAAUCUAAAUUUUGAGUAGCUUUAUAGUGGAUCCGAUCCAGUUAUUUUUUAAAUCAUUGAAACAUUGUGACUCUUGGUAAUUUUUAACACAUUCACAUCCUUAGUAUAACCAUGGGAUUGUGUUAGGGAUUGUAUCAAUAAUUAGAAAAUAUUACUCAAAGUUUUAAUUUUCAUUUCUGCCAACAAAAUGUAGUAUCAUGCCUGGUCAUUUCUUACUCUAAUUUUGAAUUUUCAUUUAUUCCAUUUUCAAAACCCAAAUUUUGUUUUGUGUUGUUUGUAAUCCGUUGUCGUGAUUAGUUCGAUAAAAAGUGAAAGACUGAUGAAAGGGAUUCUAGUCUUUUUAGAUAACGCUGCUCCACAACUUGUUCAAUGUCACGUAAAGACUCGGUGUGGUAAUAAUUUUUGCUGAAAAUGCUUUGAAAAAUGGGCAAGAGAAUAGUAAAGAAUGUAUCAAGUUUGGCAAACAAUCUGAGGAUUAACUCAGCCCUCGUUGUUGCAAUACGUGUGCGAAGGUAGCACAAUAAAACUGGUUCAAGGGAGACUGAGGAGACAGUCUAUGAACAUGUUCAUAAUCAGAAUAACCAGAAAAAGCUUAUACGACACACCGGGCAAAGAAAUCUGGAAAGGCCAAUGCUUGCAGGGGAAAGAUCUUUUGUCACUGUCCCACACUGGCUGGAAGCGACCCUGAAAGGAAUCAGGGAGUUCUAGUAGGAGAAUCCUGUGAAGAUAGAUUCAAAUGCAGGCAAUGGGGAGUCCACUUUCCUCGUAUUGCUGAACGGUCCAAGCAUGCUUCGCAACCCAUUGCUCUAUCUGGAGGAAAUGCAGAUGAUGAGGAUGAUGGAGAGCCUCUACACAGGAAGUGGGGGCAGAAACCCCAGUAAUAACAAACGCACAAACAAACACCAAAGUUCGAGAAACCCAAGUAAGCAAGAGUAUCAAGAUCAUCAGGACAUGCCUAGAGGUUGUGUGGCGAUGUAGCACCACGAGUUGGCAUCAAAUCAGCAAUUAUUGUUUGAAGCUAUUGAUCACAUAAGGAGAAGCGCUCCUCUUAUGCUCCAGAAACUGGGUUGUGAUACGAUGGUAUAUACAGAAUUGAGAAGUGUCGAAUUAGCUUUAACCUGUGCUGACACAUAAUCCUGAAGACUGCAAGGGAGCCAGAAAAAGAAGGGAAAAAGGUGCAGAAUGUGUCCGUCAGAGAUAAGUCUCUCUCUCGCUCUGUCGCUCAUAUUCCCAUACCUCAAAUCGUCGUGAACAGCUGGUCAUGGAACAUCAAUAAAAAAAAAGAAAUUUUCCUUUUCCACCGGGAUAUUCUCUUUUUUUACCACGUUUUUAAUAUGGUGAAAAAAUCUUUGACUAAUGAAUUGUUAAUUGGACUUUAUCUCAAAAUGCUGUUAAGAUCUUUUAGAAUAAAGUUUAGGGUUUAGGUAUGGUGAUUGACUUGUACUAUAAAUAGUUAUCGUAGUUACACAUAAAUCACACGUUAAUAAUCAACUAAAUGAUGUUAUAUCCAUGGGAAGUCGGUGGAGGAAGAAUCUCCCUCAUGCACGAGCAUGAUGGUAUAUCCUCACAGUUUCUUUUUCUUGUGUUGUAGGUGCCAGAUCGGCUUCUAGUUCUUGGAAGGCUUUGGUGGGACGAGAUCAUCCCAAUGGCAGUUACCGGUCCAUAUAAUCAAAGCAAUACCACAACCUGUUUGUGAGAUGCCCUUGGGUGCAACUGCAAAGAAGCUAGUACUGAUCUGAGGACAUACGCUUGCGCAUAACUCACCAAACUUUUGGCUUUUGUUUGCUCAUAUAUUGGAGGUAUAUGAUUAAUAUGAAGAAGCUCCACCGAAGAGAGAGUGGACAAGUAGAUGUAGAUGUAAGACCAAGUAUAAUUGUUCCAAAGCACUUGGACUUUUAUCUACAUCUCCUGGUCUCCUCUCUGUCUUGUUCUUAUGCUAAUCGAAUCGCCAGAUUCUUUGGAUCUACUGCAAACAGGCUUCUCUCUGCUAUGUAUUUUCUUAUGGCUGGUAUCUUCAUAUGCAACUAAUGUUAUUGUGAACUGGAAAAUUUUGUUUAAUCCUCGAUUUUUCUUCUCCCUGUUUA